UCCCGUGUGGCUCAGUUGGUAGAGCAUGGUGUUUGCAACGCCAGGGUUGUGGGUUCAUUUCCCAGGGGGG
rnacentral:tRNA from 1 species